AAAACUUUAAGUUAAUUAAACUAAUAAUCUUCAAAAUUAUAAAUAAAUCAUUAUUUAAGUUUUA
rnacentral:tRNA from 1 species